rnacentral:rRNA from 1 species
ACUCAAAGGAAUAGACGGGGGCCCGCACAAGCAGCGGAGCGUGUGGUUUAAUUCGAUGCAACGCGCAGAACCUUACCGGGGUUUGACAUGCUAGUGACCGCCCCAGAGAUGGGGUUUCCCUUCGGGGCACUAGCACAGGUGCUGCAUGGCUGUCGUCAGCUCGUGCCGUGAGGUGUUGGGUUAAGUCCCGCAACGAGCGCAACCCUCGCCGCCAGUUGUAUGUUUCUGGCGGGACCGCUGUGCAAAACGCAGAGGAAGGUGGGGAUGACGUCAAGUCAUCAUGGCCUUUAUGCCCCGGGCUACACACACGCUACAAUGGGUGGUACAGACGGUUGCCAAGCCGCGAGGUGGAGCUAAUCCGACAAAGCCAUCCUCAGUCCAGAUUGCAGGCUGCAACUCGCCUGCAUGAAGACGGAGUUGCUAGUAACCGCAGGUCAGCACACUGCGGUGAAUACGUUCCCGGGCCUUGUACACACCGCCCGU